GUAUGCUACAGGACAUGUGGCUGAUGCCCUAGCCCAGAGUAACACUGUAUACUGUAGUAUGAACAGGUAUGCUACAGGACAUGUGGCUGAUGCCCUAGCCCAGAGUAACACUGUAUACUGUAGUAUGAACAGGUAUGCUACAGGACAUGUGGCUGAUGCCCUAGCCCAGAGUAACACUGUAUACUGUAGUAUGAACAGGUAUGCUACAGGACAUGUGGCUGAUGCCCUAGCCAAGAGUAACACUGUAUACUGUAGUAUGAACAGGUAUGCUACAGGACAUGUGGCUGAUGCCCUAGCCCAGAGUAACACUGUAUACUGUAGUAUGAACAGGUAUGCUACAGGACAGGUAUGCUACAGGACAGGUAUGCUACAGGACAUGUGGCUGAUGCCCUAGCCCAGAGUAACACUGUAUACUGUAGUAUGAACAGGUAUGCUACAGGACAUGUGGCUGAUGCCCUAGCCAAGAGUAACACUGUAUACUGUAGUAUGAACAGGUAUGCUACAGGACAUGUGGCUGAUGCCCUAGCCCAGAGUAACACUG
rnacentral:lncRNA from 1 species